AAUAAGUGAAACUAGGGAAACAAUAUGAUUAGAUUACUUGUAGAUGAUCAACAUGAUAUACUAAUGCAUGAGAUCACAUAAUUUUGAAAAGACAAAAUGGAAAGAAUAGAAAAGGAAAGGAAAGGAAAAAAAUGAGAUUAAUGCUUUUUGUCUUCUUCUUCUUCUUCUUCUUCCACAACCAUAAGCUCCUUUUAUUUGCCUCAUCCACUUAUACUAACUUGAGGAGGUGGAAUUGAAACCUCUUCUUCUUCUUCUUCCCAAUCGUCAACAUGGCAAUAAGGGAUUUUGUAGACUUUUUAAAUUUCUACUAGAUCCAUAUGCAAGUGAUGAAGAUAGUUCCAAGUCUUCUCCAUUUUCUUGAAAACUUUAUCUUUAAAGGAAAGAGAAGAUUAACUAUGAAAAUUAGAGGGAGUGGGUUCACUUGGCAUUAUAUGAUCUUUUUUCCUUUUCUUCCUAUCAUCAACAUAUUUUCCAAUUAGAUUAAAGAGCUCUCCAUCAACUUCCCACUUAGGCCCAAGUAUUAUGACUUUUGCAUGCUCAAGAAAGGCUAGACCUAAAGUGAUAGGUGAAAUAAAAUGAGUAAAGGAAGGUUUUGUUGAAAGGAGAAAGGACUUGAAGGUGCUUGGCAAUCUUGGUGAUGUAAGAAGAGAUAAGAAUGAUACUUUUUGAGUGUUGCCAAAAUGAAAAAGAUGAUUAAGAAAAAAUUUUGAAAUGAGAAUUGCUUACCAUUGAUCAUUUCAUAGAGGAAGAGAAGAUCUUUUUGAGGCACUUUUUUCACCCCAUUCUCCUUUGCAUGGAUGUUGGUAGCAAUUAUCCUAUGCACUAACCAAUGAGUUAAAGAUUUUAGGUUUUUUGAUAGGGAGUCUUUUGAAUAAGUGUCUUUUGUGGAUAUUUGCCUCCAAAAUCAUGAAGAAGAAAGAGGCAUUUCAACAAUAUUUUCAAUGAUGGAUAGGUUUCCUCUCUAUUGAAAUCCAAAGAUGGAUGAGAAUUGCGGUUUAGAAAGGGUUUUUCUCUCCCUAAAUAGCUUAAAUUCUAUCCCAUAAUACUUAUCCACAUCCUUCUUUUUGUUGAUCACUAGGGUAGACAUAAAUUCCUUUGUAAGAUUUUGUAUCCUAACUCUAAGGAUUAGGGUAGAAAGAAUUCUUCUAAGCCUACAUUUUCUAGGAGAGAAUGUACCUCUUCAAAAAUGCCAAGCUUGGUAAGUACUUCUUCAUCGAAAAAAUGGUUAGCUUGAGUCUCCUUCCUCUCUAUGGUCAUGAAUUUGAUUCUUACUUCAUCAUGUACACCUUUCAUCCUCUUUAUAAUAGAUUCAGAGGAAGAAGAACC
rnacentral:lncRNA from 1 species